rnacentral:rRNA from 1 species
UAACGCGUGGGUAACCUGCCUUAUACAGGGGGAUAACAGUCAGAAAUGGCUGCUAAUACCGCAUAAGCGCACAGAGCUGCAUGGCUCAGUGUGAAAAACUCCGGUGGUAUAAGAUGGACCCGCGUUGGAUUAGCUUGUUGGUGGGGUAACGGCCUACCAAGGCGACGAUCCAUAGCCGGCCUGAGAGGGUGAACGGCCACAUUGGGACUGAGACACGGCCCAG